UAGUCCACGCUGUAAACGAUGAUCAUUCGCUGCUGGCGAUAUACUGUCAGUGGCUAAGCGAAAGCAUUAAGUGAUCCACCUGGGGAGUACGAUCGCAAGGUUGAAACUCAAAGGAAUUGACGGGGGCCCGCACAAGCGGUGGAGCAUGUGGUUUAAUUCGAUGAUACGCGAGGAACCUUACCAGGGCUUAAAUGCACUACGAUCUUCCGAGAAAUCGGAAUUCUCUUUGAGCGGAGUGCAAGGUGCUGCAUGGUUGUCGUCAGCUCGUGCUGUGAGGUGUCGGGUUAAGUCCCAUAACGAGCGCAACCCCUAUCACUAGUUGCCAGCGAGUAAUGUCGGGGACUCUAGUGAAACUGCCCGCGCAAGCGGUGAGGAAGGUGGGGAUGACGUCAAAUCAUCACGGCCCUUACGUCCUGGGCUACACACGUGCUACAAUGGUUGGUACAAAGGGCAGCAACUGGGCGACCAGAAGCGAAUCUCUAAAG
rnacentral:rRNA from 1 species